rnacentral:ncRNA from 1 species
AUUAAAGUUUGAUUCUUGCUUUUAAGUUUGCUUUUGUUUAUUUUGCACAUGUAAGUUUUUGCGUUUAUUUCGAAAUUUAUUUCUUGAUGAAUUUAUGUUUUUUUAUUCGCAGUGUAUAAUAUUGAACAAUACAGUUUUCUGUGAUUUGGAUAAAUAUUUUAAUUCUGGCUAAGUUUGUGCCAGCAGCCGCGGUUAUACGAUAAGAGUGAGUGAACUUUCUCGGUUGAUUUUAUUAUAAAUUUUGUUGUUUAGGGUUUAUUUUUUUAAUAUUUAGGGUGAAAUUUUAAUUUUAUUUUAUUGCCUUGGUUUUUUUUAAUAUAUGAAAGUUUUUUUUAGACUAGGAUUAGAUACCCUAUUAUUUUUACUGUAAAUUUUUACCUUAGUAUUAAUAGUUAUGAUCUUUAAAUUAAAAGAAUUUGGCGGUAGUUUAAUCUUACCAGAGGAACCUGUCCUGUAAUUGAUAAUCCACGUUGAAUUUUACUUUAAUUAUUGCUUGUAUACCUCUGUCAUUGAAUGUUUCAUAAGAGUUUUAAUUUUCUUUAGUCCUUUUUGGGUUUAAUGUUAGGUCAAGGUGCAGUUAUAUUGAAGGUAGAGAUGGGUUACAUUUUUUUUAUAUUUGGAUUUUUGGAUGUAAUUUCUUGAAUGAGAUUGGAUUUGGAAGUAAUUUUUAUUAUUUAAUAAUUUUGAUUUUAGUUCUAAACUAUGCACACAUCGCCCGUCGCUCUCGUUCAUAAGAUGAGAUAAGUCGUAACAAAGUAGACCUACCGGAAGGUGGGCCUGGUAAUUUUAUUUAU